ACGGGAGGCAGCAGUGAGGAAUAUUGGUCAAUGGGCGGGAGCCUGAACCAGCCAAGUAGCGUGGAGGAUGACGGCCCUACGGGUUGUAAACUCCUUUUGCCGGGGGAUAAAAAACGGGACGCGUCCCGUCUUGCAGGUACCCGUGCGAAUAAGGACCGGCUAAUUCCGUGCCAGCAGCCGCGGUAAUACGGAAGGUCCGAGCGUUAUCCGGAUUUAUUGGGUUUAAAGGGUGCGCAGGCGGUCGAUUAAGUCAGUGGUCAAAUCACGGUGCUCAACGCCGUUCCGCCAUUGAUACUGGUUGACUUGAUUCCGGUCGAGGCAGGCGGAAUUCGUAGUGUAGCGGUGAAAUGCAUAGAUAUUACGAAGAACUCCGAUUGCGUAGGCAGCUUACCAGGCCGGCAAUGACGCUCAUGCACGAAAGUGCGGGGAUCGAACAGGAUUAGAUACCCUGGUA
rnacentral:rRNA from 1 species